AACGAACGCUGGCGGCAUGCCUAACACAUGCAAGUCGAACGAGGGCUUCGGCCCUAGUGGCGCACGGGUGAGUAACGCGUGGGAACCUGCCCUGUGGUACGGAAUAACUCCGGGAAACUGGAGCUAAUACCGUAUGCGUCCUGCGGGACAAAGAUUUAUCGCCAUGGGAUGGGCCCGCGUAGGAUUAGCUUGUUGGUGGGGUAACGGCCUACCAAGGCAACGAUCCUUAGCUGGUCUGAGAGGAUGAUCAGCCACACUGGGACUGAGACACGGCCCAGACUCCUACGGGAGGCAGCAGUGGGGAAUAUUGGACAAUGGGCGCAAGCCUGAUCCAGCAAUGCCGCGUGAGUGAUGAAGGCCUUCGGGUUGUAAAGCUCUUUCGCACGCGACGAUGAUGACGGUAGCGUGAGAAGAAGCCCCGGCUAACUUCGUGCCAGCCGCCGCCGUAACAC
rnacentral:rRNA from 1 species